CAACCUCAGAUCAGAUGUGGCGACCUGACAAAUUUAAGCAUAUUACUAAGCAGAGGAAAAGAAACUAACCAGGAUUCCCUCAGUAACAGUGAGUGAAGAGGGAAGAGCCCUGUGCUGAAUCCCUGCCGGGUGACCGGCACAGGGAAAUGUGGAUUAUGGAAGUCCAUCUCUUUGGCGCCGCCCAGGGGGCUCAAGUCCUUGUUAUCGAGGCUCAGUCCACGGACCGUAUGAGGCUGGUGGCGGCCCCUGGUACGUUGGGAUCAGGUUUUCCCGGAGUCUGGUUGUUUGUGAAUGCAGCCCAAAGCGGGUGGUAAAUUCCAGCUAAGGCUAAACACUGGCAGGAGACCGAUAGUGGACAAGUACUGUAAGGAAAAGUUGAAAAAAACUUUAAAGAAAGAGUUUGAGGGAGUCAAACCGUUCAGAGGUAAAUGGAUGAGGUCCAUGUGGUCCACCUGGAGGAUUCCAUUCGGCAGCUGCACCGGCCACCCGGGCAAGAUAGAUCCCCAACCAGGGGGGCUGGGGGACCAUUUCUAGGUGCGACAGCUGCCGUCGGGUGCACUUCCUCCAUGGCAGUGCACCACGACCGGAUCUGGGUCAGCCGGGAAAGCCACGGUGAAGGUGGCUCCCUUCCCCAGAAGGGAGUGUUACAGCCCGUGGCAUCAGCCCUCGCUGUGCCCAGGGGUUGUGGGAGAUGAUACCGCCACAUCCACCCCCACCAUCAUGGAAGGGUGCCCCCGGCUCCCGGCUGGACUGUCGACUGGACUGGACUGCCCUCAGUGCUGCCUCACCACACCCACUGCUGGGCCGGCGGGCUCACCUUGGGUGCUCAGGGUCCACGGCAAAGUCGGUGACCCACCUGUCCCAUCUUGAAACAUGGACCAAUGAAUCUAACAGGUGUGCAAGUCCGAGGGUGGGCAGGAGACCCCAUGGCUCAAUGAAAGUGAGGGCCAGCAUGAGAGGAGGGAUCCCCCCACUCCACGUGGGGGUGCGCAUUGCCAGCUCAUCUCACCCAUCCUGUUGGGGAGGUGGAGUGUGAGCGCACCUGGUGGGACCUGAAACAUGGUGAACUAUGCCUGGGCAGGGUGAAGCCAGAGGAAACUCUGGUGGAGGUCCGUAGUGGUCCUGAUGUGCAAAUUGGUCAUCCGACCUGGGUAUAGGGGUGAAAGACUAAUCGAACCAUCUAGUAGCUGGUUCCCUCCGAAGUUUCCCUCAGUAUAACUGGCACUUGGCAGAUGCAGUUUUAUCUGGUAAAGCGAAUGAUUAGAAGUCUUGGGGCCGAAACAAUCUCAAUCUAUUCUCAAACUUUAAAUGGGUAAGAAGCCUGACUCACUGGCUUGGAGCUGGGCGUGGAAUGCAAGCGCCCAGUGGGCCACUUUUGGUAACAGAACUGGCUCUGUGGGAUGAACCAAAUGCUGGGUUAAGGUGCACGAUGCCGAUGCUCAUCAGACUCCAGAAAAGGUGUUGGUUGAUAUAGACAGCAGGACGAUGCCCAUGGAAGUCGGAAUCCGCUAAGGAGUGUGUAGAAACUCACCUGCUGAAUCAACUAGCCCUAAAAAUGGAUGGCACUGGAGCGUUGGGCGCAUACCCAGCUGUCACCAGCACUGGGAUCUGAUGGGGCUACGUCACAACGAGUAGGAGGGCCACCACAGUGGCACUGAAGCCCAGGGUGAGGGCCUGGGUGGAGCCACCGUGGGUGCAGAUCUUGGCGGUAGUAGCAAAUAUUCAAACGAGAGCUUUGAAGGCCAAAGUGGAGAAGGGUUCCAUGUGAACAGCAGUUGAAAAUGGGUCAGUCAGUCCUGAAAGAGAGGCGAGUACCGUUCCAAAGGGACGGGCGAUAGCCUUCAUCACCCUCAGAUGAUUGAAAGGAAGUCAGGUUCAGAUUCCCAAAUCUGGAGCAGCAGAGACUGGCGCUUUGUGGAGUCCAGUGUGGUGACACAAACAAUCCCAGACAAGCCAGUGGGGACCCCUGGGAGAGUUCUCUUUUCUUUGUAAAGGGCAGGACACCCUGGAAUGGGUUGGCACCAAGGAAGGGGCCCGCACCCUGGAAAGCAUUGCUGUUCCAGCAGCAUCAGGUGAGCUCUAGCUGGCCCUUGAAAAUCCGGGGGAGAGGGUGUAAGUCUCAUGCCGGGCCGUAUCCUUAUCCGCAGCAGGUCUCCAAGGUGAACAGCCUCUGGCAUGUUAGAGCAAUGUAAGUAAGGGAAGUCGGCAAGCCAGAUCCAUAACUUUGGGAUAAAGAUUGGCUCUAAGGGCUGAGUCGGUCUGGCUCGGUGGUGAAGCGGGGCUGGGCGCGCACCAUGGCUGGAUGAGGCAUCGCCCCCUUGCCAUGCUCCCCCCUCCUGGGGGGGCCAGGGGGAUGGCGGUGGAGACUCUGGACAUGUGCUGGGCCCUUCCUGUGGAUCACCCUGGCUGUGCCGGGCACCAGUCCCGACCAGCGUCCCGCAUUGUCCAGCAGCUAGCAGCUGACUUAGAACUGGUGCAGACUGGGGGAAUCUGACUGUUU